rnacentral:rRNA from 1 species
UCCGUCACCAUUUGCUAUUCUUCUCUCCGGAGGGGGAAGCACUAUGGUGGUACCGCCACUGUUAAAGUGGAGGAAGGAGGGGGCAACGGUAGGUCAGUAUGCCCCGAAUCUCCCGGGCUACACGCGCGCUACAAAGGGCAGGACAAUGGGCUUCGACACCGAAAGGUGAAGGCAAUCCCGAAACCUGCUCGUAAUUCGGAUUGAGGGCUGCAAUUCGCCCUCAUGAAGCUGGAAUACGUAGUAAUCGCGGGUCAACAUCCCGCGGUGAAUAUGCCCCUGCUCCUUGCACACACCGCCCGUCAAACCACCUUAGUUGGGUUUGGACGAGGGUUUGUCUUCUGACACGCUCGAAUCUGAAUUCAGCGAGGAGGGUUAAGUCGUAACAAGGUA